rnacentral:rRNA from 1 species
AGCUCCAAUAGCGUAUAUUAAAGCUGUUGCAGUUAAAAAGCUCGUAGUUGGAUCUCGGGUCCAGACUUGCGGUUCACCUCGCGGUGAUUACUGCUUGUUCUGACCUACCUACCGGUUGUCCCUUGGUGCUCUUGACUGAGUGUCUCGGGUGGCCGGAACGUUUACUUUGAAAAAAUUAGAGUGUUCAAAGCAGGCAAUACGCCUGAAUAAUGGUGCAUGGAAUAAUGGAAUAGGACCUCGGUUCUAUUUUGUUGGUUUUCGGAACUUGAGGUAAUGAUAAAGAGGGACAGACGGGGGCAUUCGUAUUACGGUGUUAGAGGUGAAAUUCUUGGAUCGCCGUAAGACGAACUACUGCGAAAGCAUUUGCCAAGCAUGUUUUCC